ensembl:lncRNA
GCAAAUUACCUGCGAGAUAAAAACAGCUUUUACCACCUCUUUCGAGUCAGUCUUGCAUUGUGGGUUUUUGUUGUGGUUCUAUAGCGAGAAACACAGAGGGCACUGCUUGUUUGUGCUCAUGCAGGAUGCAGGUGUCUAUUACUGUGCGAUGCCGGCUUGCUCUGCUGAUUCUGACUCUUGCUGUUUGUGAUGUCAGAAAUGCAAAUGGUUCUCAGUUUGCCUCCCCUGGCUCCACAAAAGGAGGAAGUGCUCGUUACCAUGACACUUCUGACAAAAUUGAGCCAUUGAAAGCUGGACCUGUUCAAAAUGGCAACAUGCACUCUGCUGGCAGUGCUCAGCCCAGAUAUAGUGGAUACUACCAACCAUUUCAACCUAGUUCCUUUCCAGUGGUUAGGGAACAAGCUGCAGACACCAGAUACAAGCCUCCGUCUCCUUCCCAAUCUGUUCCCACAGGGAAGAAACAUGUGCAGAGCAGCUACCAGUCACUCCACAGAGAGAGUGUGUACUCAAGACCAGCUCAAACUACAGUAGGCAGGUAUGAGCCUCCUUCUGCUUCAAAGCCUACCCAGACAGGCUACCGUCCCAUGCAGAGCAGCAACCAACCAAGCCUUAGCCAGCCUAAGAAAAACUACAAACCAGGUGUGAUUGGCCAGAGCACCAGCAGUGUGAUCCAAGGUGGUAGACAAUUGCGUCAAAGUGGCUUUCCACCAGUGCAGGGCCAGCACAGCCAAGGUCGGCAAAGUUCCCAGAUAAGACCAAAGCCAGGAAGGCUAAUAGACCCUGCUUCCUUCAAGCCAUUAUCUGCUCCGUCAGUCCAGGGAGUUGACAAGCCCUUACCUCAGAGCCACUCUUCCCCAUCUGGUCAGAGCUUUAGCCAGGCUCCUGAGACUGCACAGACAAUGUACAAACCUACACAGACCAACUAUCAGCCAUACCAGGGCAAGAGGAACCAGCAGUUUCGACUGCCAUCUAUUGCAAGCACCCAGGAGGUGGCAUCUCCAGCCAAGCCAAUGCACUCUGCUGGCAGCGCUCAGCCCAGAUCUAGUGGAUACUACCAACUAUUUCAGAGUAGUUCCUUUCCAGUGGUUAGGGAACAAGCUGCAGACACCAGAUACAAGCCUCCGUCUCCUUCCCAAACUGUUCCCACAGGGAAGAAACAUGUGCAGAGCAGCUACCAGUCACUCCACAGAGAGAGCCUGUACUCAAGACCAGCUCAAACUACAGUAGGCAGGUAUGAGCCUCCUUCUGCUUCAAAGCCUACCCAGACAGGCUACCGUCCCAUGCAGAGCAGCAACCAACCAAGCCUUAGCCAGCCUAAGAAAAACUACAAACCAGGUGUGAUUGGCCAGAGCACCAGCAGUGUGAUCCAAGGUGGUAGACAAUUGCGUCAAAGUGGCUUUCCACCAGUGCAGGGCCAGCACAGCCAAGGUCGGCAAAGUUCCCAGAUAAGACCAAAGCCAGGAAGGCUAAUAGACCCUGCAUCCUUCAAGCCAUUAUCUGCUCCGUCAGUCCAGGGAGUUGACAAGCCCUUACCUCAGAGCCACUCUUCCCCAUCUGGUCAGAGCUUUAGCCAGGCUCCUGAGACUGCACAGACAAUGUACAAACCUACACAGACCAACUAUCAGCCAUACCAGGGCAAGAGGAACCAGCAGUUUCGACUGCCAUCUAUUGCAAGCACCCAGGAGGUGGCAUCUCCAGCCAAGCCAAUGCACUCUGCUGGCAGCGCUCAGCCCAGAUCUAGUGGAUACUACCAACUAUUUCAGAGUAGUUCCUUUCCAGUGGUUAGGGAACAAGCUGCAGACACCAGAUACAAGCCUCCGUCUCCUUCCCAAACUGUUCCCACAGGGAAGAAACAUGUGCAGAGCAGCUACCAGUCACUCCACAGAGAGAGUGUGUACUCAAGACCAGCUCAAACUACAGUAGGCAGGUAUGAGCCUCCUUUUGCUUCAAAGCCUACCCAGACAGGCUACCGUCCCAUGCAGAGCAGCAACCAAUCAAGCCUUAGCCAGCCUAAGAAAGACUACAAACCAGGUGUGAUUGGCCAGAGCACCAGCAGUGUGAUCCAAGGUGGUAGACAAUUGCGUCAAAGUGGCUUUCCACCAGUAGAGGGCCAGCACAGCGAAGGUCGGCCAAGUUCCCAGAUAAGACCAAAGCCAGGAAGGCUAAUAGACCCUGGUUCCUACAAGCCACCGUCUGCUCCGUCAGUCCAGGGAGUUGACAAGCCCUUACCUCAGAGCCACUCUUCCCCAUCUGGUCAGAGCUUUAGCCAGGCUCCUGAGACUGCACAGACAAUGUACAAACCUACACAGACUAACUAUCAGCCAUACCAGGUCAAGAGGAACCAGCAGUUUCAACUGCCAUCUAUUGCAAGCACCCAGGAGGUGGCAUCUCCAGCCAAGCCAGUGCAGGGUUGGCAUCAGCAGGCGCGUCCAGUUUCCGGUGCUUGUUCCAAGCCUCAGUCCCAGAGUGUUCUGUGCUGCAUUUUAUUUCGGCUGGAAAGACCUGGGGCUGAGAACAAUCAACCAUUCCAUGGGUGGUUUGACCCACAGUGGGCAUCCCAGCAAUUUGAGCAUACUCUGACCCAAGCUGCCCCUGCCAAGCCAGUCCAGGGUUCUCAACAACAUUCUCCAGCAGUUUCUAGUUCUUAUCCAUAUUCCAGUCCUGUGCAUAGCCUCCAGACACCUAAACCAGUACAACACAACAACCAGUCCUUCCAGGGUGGGUUUCCAGCAGGUUCUACACUCCAACAUGCUGAGGGUACCCAGAAGUUGGAAUAUGCUGUGCCGCCAGGCCUGACUUGGCUUCAACAGUCUCCUGCAGUUUUUAGCUCUGUGGUCCAACAGGCUGAGAACCCUCAGAAGAGGCCGUAUCCAGCAAAGGAUUUCCAGGGUUGGCAACAGCAGUCUCCUUCUGUUCCUACCACUGGUCUGGAUUCCAAGCCUGGACAGAGCCUUCAGACCCCUCAGCAAGGGCAUGGCAUCUACCAGUCAUUCCAGAGCAUAUUCACAGAAGAAACUGCAUCUCAGUCCCCUGAAAGUGCCUGGAAACCAGCAUCUGCUAAUCCAGAACAGAGCUGGCAUCAACCAUUCCCUCCAUUUUCCUACAAUGCACAAGACUUUAAGCCAGUCCAAAUCAAGUCAAAUGUAGAAGAAACUGUAUCUCAGUCCCCUGAAAGUGCCUGGGAACCAGCAUCUGCUAAUCCAGAACAGAGUUGGCAUCAACCAUUCCCUCUGGUUUCCUACAAUGCACAAGACUUUAAGCCAGUCCAAAUCAAGUCAAAUGUAGAAGAAACUGUAUCUCAGUCCCCUGAAAGUGCCUGGAAACCAGCAUCUGCUAAUCCAGAACAGAGUUGGCAUCAACCAUUCCCUCUGGUUUCCUACAAUGCACAAGACUUUAAGCCAGUCCAAGUCAAGUCAAAUGUAUUUAUAGUCAGCAACCCCCUCAUGCGCCCAAAACGUCUGCAUAUUCUCCGCAGUCUUCUGGGUACAGUUUCUCCCACGGUACAUCUUCAGGCAACUUUGGUUCAACUGUUGGUCGGACAAAGAGCUAAAGGGUAUGUUGGUUUUAAUGGAAGUAUCCAUACCGUUGAGCCAUGUCGGUGUUUGCAUUCCCUUUUCUUUAUGUCUAGACUUUGCUGCUUGAAAUGACAUUUCAAUAAACCUCUUUGACUAUAUACAGU